AAAUAUUAUUCAAAGAUAAAAUUGUGCCAUUUUCAACAACAUGGAUUGACCUUGAAGGUAUUAUGGUAAGCGAAAUAAGUUAAACAGAUGUAGACAAAUACUGUAUGAUUUCACUCAUAUGUGGAAGAU